CCGUAGCUUACAUGUCUGCUAUAAGUAUAUAUUUCAUUGUGAAUUUUUAGUUUGAUGCCAUGCCAUUCUUCUGGAUUAUUUCAGAGCUGCAAAUUAUGUGUGUUUUAGGUAUGUCUUCCUCAUUUUAUAUUCUUUGCCCUCUCCUUGACCACAACUCAUCUUCAGGUGCAAGUGGAGUUGCGGCCAGAUGGUUGAUCCAGCAAUGGAGGGACUGUAUCGUGCAAAGUUUCUCUCUUGGUUCACCGAUGCGAUCGCCUGUGUCCAGGGUAAUUAUUUUGGUAGAAAGAUAUUUCUGUGCAAAUGGCAAGCCUGGUACGUCUCAGACUCUUUUUUAUUCUGCAUUUCUUCAGAAAAGUUAUUAUGUGGUGGGCUAGCUUGAUGAUUUGGGUAACGAGUAUUUAAUCUGCUAGAAUUUCAUACAAACUUAAAUUUUAAUAUGGUCUGGAGUAGGUGUCAUUGUCGUGGGGACGAAGGGCCGACAUGACAGAGGAUAAUAAGACAGCUAUGAGCUCAUAUGAGAAAACGGAAACAGUAGAACACUAAUUCUGAUUGCUCGAGUUUACUUGUAUCUAUUUCUUGGAGAAAAACAUGGAGAUGAGGAUAAUAUCCAUUAGGAAAAGACCUCACAUGACUAUAACGACAUAAAUGUAAGCAGAAGAAACUUUUCGGCAAGCAGUCACGCAAGGACCAGAGGUAUAAGCAUUUCACGCGCCAGGCAGCCAAUGGUGGGGAGCAGGAAGCAGAACCAGGACACAAACGUGAUAAAUGUCAUUGGGGUCCCAUGUUUGCCGCUGCAGCUUUUUCUUCAGGUAUAUGCUAUUACUUAUGGUAAGGAAUGCAUAUUACCAUGUUGCUUCUGCAGCUUAUUCUACUUACGGUAAGGAAUGCAUAUUACCAUGUUGCCUCUGCAGCUUAUUCUACCUUCUGAUAGCAUCAAAAUGAUCAUGUGAUUUAGCUAGCUGGUAUGCAAGAUUUGAUUGUUCAGUUUUUGUCAAAAAGUUCAGUAAACAAAAAGAAACUGAUUUGCUUCCCUGGCAAUUUCUUGCAAGAAUCGCUCAUUCGUUAGUUAGAAGAUAGUAAGUUUUCAGAGCAAAACCAUCAGAGCAACACUUCAAGUUGAGGUCCCCACUCGAUUUAGCUUCAACAUGAUUGAGAUUGUAAUAUACUCUAUAUCUUUUCUGUAGUUUGAGAAGCUAUUUGAAAUGUGAUUCUCAUAACCACUGAAGCAUGUAGUUUCCUGCUUUUUUCAGGGCUAUGUACUUCCAUUUUUUAAUGACAAAAUUAAUGGAAGCAUGUAACAUAUAUGCUACUUGAGUCCUGGUUAUCCUUACAUAAGAAUAAUUUAGUUUUCUCCUGCUUUCUAUGCUCUCUGCUAAGUUCUUGUUUACUUUGUUGUACCAAAAAAACUCUUUAAUUCAGCAUGUGUUCUUGUUUUUGUUUUGUGUAUGUCCCUAUGAAAUGAUUGUUCAGCCUGAUCAUGAGAUGGACACAUGAUAACUGCGUCCUUCGUAUUUAUUUUUUAUUUGCUACAUCGACCAUAACUAUAUGAUUAUAUUAGCUGACUGAUCAUAUCAGGGUGUUAUAGGCAACCUUUUCUUUUCUGAGGAGCACAUAUUUGGCACAUAACGAACAAUGUUUUUUUUUUGUUCCAUCGAGUGUCAUUGUCGUCUUUGUUGGAAAAUUGGCUAGGAUGUUCUUGGGUAAUUGUUUUAGAACACUGGCUCUUUUGGUUACAUGCUUAUGAUAUUAUGUUCCCUAAGCAAUUGUUCGCUCCCAUCUCCCAUUCGGUUACCUGCUGGAAAUCUGGUACAUCUGUUGGAUUUCAGUACAAGUGCUCAAAAACUAAAUUCUCUUCUAUGUUGGUGGACUGAAUGUUGGUUCAAGCGGUACUACAACACAUCACUGGAACAAUUUAAACAGCCUCUGGCAUUGCCUCCGUGAGGCGACUCGGGUGGACACACUAGAAGAAGUAACUACCAUCCUCUCUUCCACCAACUCCCCUUGCCAUUGCCAGCAGGUGUCGCUGUGUAAAGUCUGUUGGUGGCUGCAGUGGCGGGACUCAGCAUGACCUGCUCCCCAUCCUUAGGGCCUACAUCCUCCCACACCACAUCCAAAUCCAAUUGUCGCUGUCAUUCGUCUUAGCCAUAGCUGCUCGACCGGGGCGCCACGUUCCACUGCAGGUGGGUUACUUGAGCUGCAAGAAAAGUAAGUCAUGUCAAAUUCCUACUAUGCCUGCCAACAUUGUGUUGUAUGUCUAAUUUUCUAUAUAUGUCUUUGUAACAAUUUGUACCCCAUCACAUUGUGGUUCAUCUUAGUAUUAUUAAUAUACAUGUAUCUUAUGAAAGAAAAAUAAGUAGUGUGAGCUCCAUGUUCAAAUCGAAACUACUGAUUCCAAGUUCCUGAUAUGCUCCUGAUUAUUUUUAAGGUGUUCAUUUUGCCGCGCUGCUGGCCUUACGUAGUUUAUAUGCAAACACCUAUAGGAGCAAACAGCUUGAGAGUGUUGCCGACUAUCAGUUACGAUGGCUAGCGAUGCAGCUGGGGCUUGCGUUAUUGGAAUUACAGUUCUGUAAAAAUGGUUCUCUAAAAAAACGGAAACUUGAUUAUUAUCAAUAUGCAAUUUGUUUCAUUUCUAAAGUUGUAUUUGGGUUGUGUAUCAUAUAGUGUUUGUUGGUUUCAUAUCCAACUUGCAUUAAGUUGGUAGUGCAUAUGGUCACCGUGCAUCUAUAUGCUAAGGUGUUCGGUUGAUGAUUUUGUAACCUGAUUACCGCUUGUGUUUGGUUCGACUUGCACAUAAUUAGGUUCCAUGCCUGACACAAUGGAAGAAACCUCUCCAUGCAUACAAGCUCAUGUACUGAUUCUGCCAUUUGCACGAUACCGCAAUGGAUUUUCGUGGAAAUUUGGAGGGAUAAGAAAUAAGAGUCAUAUUUGAUAUGUUUAUAGCAAGUGAAGUCAUGUAAAAUCACCAAAGAUAUAGAUUGAAGCAUGGAAAUAAAUUAAUUGAUAAAAUAACAUCCUAUAUGUUAGUGUCCAUUAGCAUAU